rnacentral:rRNA from 1 species
GUAGUUAAUAGCUGCAUUACUUGACGUUAGCGACAGAAGAAGCACCGGCUAACUCCGUGCCAGCAGCCGCGGUAAUACGGAGGGUGCGAGCGUUAAUCGGAAUUACUGGGCGUAAAGCGCAUGCAGGUGGUUUGUUAAGUCAGAUGUGAAAGCCCGGGGCUCAACCUCGGAAUAGCAUUUGAAACUGGCAGACUAGAGUACUGUAGAGGGGGGUAGAAUUUCAGGUGUAGCGGUGAAAUGCGUAGAGAUCUGAAGGAAUACCGGUGGCGAAGGCGGCCCCCUGGACAGAUACUGACACUCAGAUGCGAAAGCGUGGGGAGCAAACAGGAUUAGAUACCCUGGUAGUCCACGCCGUAAACGAUGUCUACUUGGAGGUUGUGGCCUUGAGCCGUGGCUUUCGGAGCUAACGCGUUAAGUAGACCGCCUGGGGAGUACGGUCGCAAGAUUAAAACUCAAAUGAAUUGACGGGGGCCCGCACAAGCGGUGGAGCAUGUGGUUUAAUUCGAUGCAACGCGAAGAACCUUACCUACUCUUGACAUCCAGAGAACUUUCCAGAGAUGGAUUGGUGCCUUCGGGAACUCUGAGACAGGUGCUGCAUGGCU